rnacentral:rRNA from 1 species
AGCCGCCGCGGUAAUACGAAGGGGGCUAGCGUUGCUCGGAAUCACUGGGCGUAAAGGGUGCGUAGGCGGGUCUUUAAGUCAGGGGUGAAAUCCUGGAGCUCAACUCCAGAACUGCCUUUGAUACUGAAGAUCUUGAGUUCGGGAGAGGUGAGUGGAACUGCGAGUGUAGAGGUGAAAUUCGUAGAUAUUCGGAAGAACACCAGUGGCGAAGGCGGCUCACUGGACUGGUAUUGACGCUGAGGUGCGAAAGCGUGGGGAGCAAACAGGAUUAGAUACCCCGGUAGUCCCUGUCUCUUAUACA